UGGGGAAUAUUGCACAAUGGGCGCAAGCCUGAUGCAGCAAUGCCGCGUGCGGGAAGACAGCCCUAGGGUUGUAAACCGCUUUCAGCAGGGAAGAAACUGACGGUACCUGCAGAAGAAGAUGCGGCCAACUACGUGCCAGCAGCCGCGGUGACACGUAGGCAUCAAGCGUUAUCCGGAUUUAUUGGGCGUAAAGAGCUCGUAGGCGGUUCGGUAAGUCGGGUGUGAAAAUCUCUGGGCUCAACCCAGAGAGGCCACUCGAUACUGCUGUGACUAGAGUGCGGUAGGGGAGCGGGGAAUUCCUGGUGUAGCGGUGAAAUGCGUAGAUAUCGGGAGGAACACCGGUGGCGAAGGCGGUCACCUGGGCCAGUACUGACGCUGAGGCGC
rnacentral:rRNA from 1 species